rnacentral:rRNA from 1 species
GACGAACGCUGGCGGCGUGCUUAACACAUGCAAGUCGAACGAAGCUUGCUUACUGAUUCUUCGGUUGAAGGAUGAUAUGACUGAUUGGCGGACGGUUGAGUAACGCGUGAGUAACCUUCCCUUCAGGGGGGGAUAGCGUUUGGAAACGAACGGUAAUACCUCAUAAUGUAUUUUGACCGCAUGAUCGAAAUACCAAAGAUUUAUCGCUGCAGGAUGGAUGCGCGUCUGAUUGGGUCGUUGGUGGGGUAACGGCCUACCAAGCCGACGAACAGUAGCCGGAAUGGGGGGCUGACACGCCGCGUUGGGAAUGAGACACAGACCAGACUCCUACGGGAGGGAGCAGUGGGGAAUACUACACAAGGGGCGCAAGUCUGAUGCAGCAACGUCGCGUGAAGGAAGCCGGUUGUCGGAUUGUAAACUUCUGUUCUUAGUGAAGAAUAAUGACGGUAGCUAAUGAGCAAGCCACGGCUAACUACGUG